UGGGGAAUAUUGGGCAAUGGGCGAAAGCCUGACCCAGCAACGCCGCGUGAAGGAAGACGGUCUUCGGAUUGUAAACUUCUUUAAUUGGGGAAGAAAUAAAUGACCUACCCAAAGAAUAAGUCACGGCUAACUACGUGCCAGCAGCCGCGGUAAUACGUAGGUGACAAGCGUUAUCCGGAUUUACUGGGCGUAAAGGGCGUGUAGGCGGCUUAGCAAGUCAGAUGUGAAAUUCUUGGGCUCAACCCGAGAGCUGCAUCUGAAACUGCUGAGCUUGAGUGCUGGAUGGGAUAGCGGAAUUCCUGGUGGAGCGGUAAAAUGCGCAGAUAUCAGGAAGAACACCGGUGGCGAAGGCGGCUAUCUGGACAGUAACUGACGCUGAGGCGCGAAAGCGUGGGGAGCAAACAGG
rnacentral:rRNA from 1 species